GAUUUUGGGUUUUUGAAGUUAAGAAGAGAGAUCUGAAAAUGAAUCGGUUCGUGGCACGGUCUGUGAUUAGGGCUCUGAUGGUGAACAGCAGAAGCUGCGGUGGGAGCAACAGGAUGCUGUACGCGGCGACCACUGCCACUGUGAGACCGUGGGAGAUCAGUGACGUGGGAAGGGGUGGUGAUUUUGGAGCGUUUAACUGGAGGAGGAUGAUGAGCUCCCAGGAGAGCUCGGCGGUGGAGGAGGUGAAGAAGGAGAAGUCGGCGGUCGAGCAGGCGAAAAAGGACAGCAGUGGCGAUAAGAUGAUGUUGUCGAGUUACUGGGGGAUCUCAAGGCCCAAGAUCACCAGAAAAGAUGGCACCGAGUGGCCGUGGAACUGUUUCAUGCCGUGGGAAGCGUAUGGAACAGACAUAUCUAUAGAUCUGACCAAGCACCAUGUACCAAAGACGUUUCUUGAUAAAGUUGCUUACAGGACAGUGAAACUGCUCCGUAUUCCAACAGAUAUCUUUUUCCAGAGACGGUAUGGAUGUCGUGCAAUGAUGCUGGAAACGGUGGCAGCUGUUCCUGGAAUGGUGGGGGGUAUGCUGCUGCACCUGAAGUCUCUUCGCAAGUUCCAGCAAAGUGGUGGUUGGAUCAAAGCCUUGCUUGAAGAAGCAGAGAAUGAGAGGAUGCAUUUGAUGACGAUGGUGGAGCUUGUGCAGCCCAAAUGGUACGAGAGGCUAUUGGUUCUCGCCGUGCAGGGAGUCUUCUUUAAUGCAUUCUUUGUGUUAUAUAUUCUCUCCCCCAAAUUAGCUCAUAGAAUUGUUGGCUAUCUGGAGGAGGAAGCCAUCCAUUCAUACACAGAGUAUUUGAAGGACAUCGAUAGUGGUGCAAUAAAAAAUGUUCCAGCUCCUGCAAUAGCAAUAGACUAUUGGAGGCUACCAAAAGAUGCAACUUUAAAGGAUGUCAUAACUGUGAUACGUGCAGAUGAAGCUCACCAUCGGGAUGUAAACCAUUUUGCUUCUGACAUUCAUUAUCAGGGAAAGGAAUUGAGGGAGGCACCCGCACCUCUUGGUUAUCACUAAGGCAAAUAUUGAAUGUGAGAUAAGAUGAUAAGCGAAUUUGGUGUACAUGUUGAAAAAUGAAAACUUCUAUAUUCUAAAGUGGGCGUUAUUCUACUGCACGGAAGUGAUCAUUAAGUUGAUAGAUGAUAUCCUAUGCAUUAGAGGAUCAGUGCCAAUCUGCCACCACCCAUUUCUUCACUCUUGGAAUCUAUGGAGAGGCACCUAAUGGCAUAGCACUGAUUUAGUUCCUGGUUUCUAAAAUUGCGACAUCUGGGAUGAAACUGGAUUUGGUUCAAGGCAAUUGCUCAUGUCCCAUUAUGCAUACUCCACUUCUGCAGCUCUAACUGAAUAUAUGAGCAGAAAAUUGUCCGUGCA